AACUAUUCGACCAAGAAAAAUUGGUUAGUAUUAUGUGUAUGUUAACAACUAUUUCUUAUCUUUUUCUUUUCAAUUUACUAAUUAAAGAUGGUAAGGAUUACAGGGAACAAUUAUAAAUUUGAAAAAAUAUCAACAACAUGUAAACUAGUUCAUGAGUGUGUGGAAGAAACUAUUUCUUCAUGUCAAAAUCACGACGAGUCAUGUGGUUAAAGAACCCAAUGUAUGUAAACAAACUCUGAAUAUAAAAAAAAUCAAUAAAAAAAAAAUCUUACGAAUCAUUUGGAUAUACUGAAACUAAACGACAGAAAUUUUAGAUAAAAGAUGAGAAGACAAUUCCAUAGGACUGGUGUAAUACCACCAUUAAUUUGCUCAUAUAAGUCUUUGUUAAUUUUGCAAUUUUCCUAAACAUGUGCUUAAUGUAUCUUUGUUUCAAAUAAAGAAAUACUAGUUAAGGGUAAAGUUUUAUCCCAUCCAGUACUACAGAAAAAAUGUCACAUAACAUUUCAUUUCAUUAAAAAUAACAACCCUCAUUGGAAGGUUAUACAAUCAAAUUUUCACUCCUUAUAUAACUGUGUACAAGCGUUAGUAAUUAUGUAACCUCAAGAUUCCAAAAUAUUCUAUAGAAACAACAAUUAAAAAAAAGAACAGUGCUUUGAAACAACAAUAUCAUAUGUUUAUGACUUAGAAAAUAUUUACUGCAAUGAAAUGUAGUAUUAAUUUCAUACAACAAUCAAAUUCAAGAGAAUAUUUUUUUCGACCUUUUGUCGUAUGCAACCAGAUAUGACGUUCUAUGAAAUGAUUGUAUUACACAUUCAUGUGCUUUACACCGAAGCCGUUUUCCUGCUACUAAACCAUAUAGGUGAAUUCCUAGCACAUUCCCUUAAAAAGUAUAUUUGAGUUCUUUACUCUUAUAUUGAACUAAAGGAAACAAAAUUAUUAAUGCAACACAUGGUUUGUUUUUUUUAAAUUUAAAAAAAAAUCGUUGUCUUUAUUUAGAAGAAGGGUGUUACACAGAAAUGACAUUCCACUUAAUUUGUGUAACUCAAAAUUAUUUUUUCCCGAUGAAUUGCCAAUUGAGUGGUUCUCGUAGUGUUAUUAAUUAAAACAUGUCAUGUCACAUCUAAAUUUUUUGAUUGUCUAUAUUUCAAAAACCUUUAGGAUGUGGGAAGAAGGGAGACAUAAUAUUUGUACUAGAUUCAUCUGGCAGUGUAGGAACAUCUAACUGGAAAGUUAUGCUGAAGUUUGUGCAAGAUGUCAUCAAUAUUUUUACUAUCGGUAAAAAUGAUGUUCAGGUUGGGGUUGAUAUCUAUGCUAAUUCUGCUUCUACACGCAUAAGGCUGAACUCUUACCAAUCAAAGACACAGUUGAUGGAUGCUGUGAAACGUAUUUCCUAUACUAAUGGUGGAACAGCUACAAACCGGGCGAUACAUCAUUUGAUAAGCAGUAGUUUUUCGUCGUCACAUGGUA
rnacentral:lncRNA from 1 species